UUAACAACAGUAACCCUGUUCUUCUACUGAUGCUGUAAAGCAGGAAGGACACGGGCUGGGUCAAUGAGCCAGGCCAGCACUAAUUGACACCCCCGGGAUGAGAUGAAGCUGUGUGUCCACACAUCUCAGAUUGUGACUCACGGUCUUUGUGUUGCUUCGGUGAGAACAGCAGUAAAGGGCAGCUGGAUUCUGAUAUACUGUCUGACAUAGAAGUAAAGUGUAAGGAUCGUGGGCUCGCUGUGUGGACCGGACAGAUGGUUUUCAGCCACGCUUGGAGGACCUGGAGGGAGAAACGGAGCGCGGCAGCCGCCCCCGUCCUCUAUCGUCUCCAGCAGCUCCUCUGUGGUUUCUCUUCUUCGGGAUUUCGUUGUAUUUGAUUUUUUGGCUUCGUGAUUUCGUGUUUCUCUCGCUGCCUGCUCAGUGCUGUCACUGUCUGUGUCUGUUUAUUUUGUUUGAUGCUCGAUGACUGAAAAGCACUUUGGGUCACCUCCUCAUGUUUUCAUGUGCGCUGUAAAAAACAUUACCUGACGUCUUGUCCACGUGCACGAUCGGCGUUGUGUCGAUUCAACGUUCUCUUCCUGUUUAUCUUUUCCUAUUUAGUAUUUCCCUCUUUAUAUUUUUGCACAUGAUGCUUUUUAAUUUCACAGUUUUCUGGUUAUGAAACCAGACAAAAUAUUUAAAUCCAACCCCCCCGUCAUUUCAAACUAGCUCUGCUGCCUACAGUGUUGUCCUUUCACUGAGGGCUUCAUAGCACAAGGAAAACAAACUUUCA